AUUAUACGCCUGUGGGUGGCGGUAAUGUGUAACAUUGUGCGCUACAGCAGACAACUUGCAAGAGAAGAAGAAAAUCAGGAGGGCUGUUUGAAAAGAUGAACUGCGCGUAAUAUAAUAUUUAUAUCGCUUGAAAACUAUAUAUAUGAUGAUGCUUUAAUAUAUCAAGACGCACGACAUUUUUAAUCAUUAUGAGCAAAGAACCUCAAGCCUGUUUCAGUUCAAAUAAUGGCUGGAGAACUUUCAUGUGGUUUGAGGGGCCAAUCCUUCUACCUGCAUGAUGUGAAGAGACAUCAUCAGCCGUCUGGGAGGGGUGAGAUAUAUCAUUUUUCAAUGAAGGACAAAACCGGAAUUGUAGUAAUUGUUGGCCUGUAUGCAAAGUGUUGUUAAAUGGUGCAUCUCAUCCUGUCUGUUCACUGUUUCCUAUAGAAAGUGGACAGUUUUCUCACCAAGGAAUGUGAUUUUGUCGGGCGUUAAAGAACCUCAUAGUGCUUUGCAGGUGGAUGGUUCAUGUACUGCAGGGGGAAACAAAGUGGAACCCCCAGAACUUUGGAGAAGUAUCAGAGCAGUGUGCUGGCAAAUGCUUGUUUGUGGGGAGUCAAGGUCUACAAUGUAGAUGAAUUUCUAAAGUUCAUCAAUCAUCUAAAUCAGAAAAUGAGGACAGCUAAGAAAAAAAGAAGCAAACUGACAGCUCCUCAUGUGAGAGCUGGAGUUUUGAGAGGUCCUUAUCUGAAAGUGGAGGACUCCAGUCGGAAGUUCAGACCAUUCUGCACAGUUUCCCAGCGAUGA
ensembl:lncRNA